rnacentral:rRNA from 1 species
UACGUAGGUGGCAAGCGUUGUCCGGAUUUACUGGGCGUAAAGGGCGUGCAGGCGGUCUGUUAAGUCUAGGGUGAAAGCCCCCGGCUCAACUGGGAGAGGUCCUUGGAUACUAGCGGACUUGAGGGAGGCAGAGGAGUAUGGAAUUCCCGGUGUAGUGGUGAUAUGCGUAGAUAUCGGGAGGAACACCAGCGGCGAAGGCGGUACUCUGGGCCUUACCUGACGCUGAGACGCGAAAGCGUGGGGAGCGAACCGG